UGGGGAAUAUUGCACAAUGGGCGCAAGCCUGAUGCAGCCAUGCCGCGUGUGUGAAGAAGGCCUUCGGGUUGUAAAGCACUUUCAGCGAGGAGGAAGGUGGUGAACUUAAUACGUUCAUCAAUUGACGUUACUCGCAGAAGAAGCACCGGCUAACUCCGUGCCAGCAGCCGCGGUAAUACGGAGGGUGCAAGCGUUAAUCGGAAUUACUGGGCGUAAAGCGCACGCAGGCGGUUUGUUAAGUCAGAUGUGAAAUCCCCGGGCUCAACCUGGGAACUGCAUUUGAAACUGGCAAGCUAGAGUCUCGUAGAGGGGGGUAGAAUUCCAGGUGUAGCGGUGAAAUGCGUAGAGAUCUGGAGGAAUACCGGUGGCGAAGGCGGCCCCCUGGACGAAGACUGACGCUCAGGUGCGAAAGCGUGGGGCAGCAAACAGGACUAGAUACCCUGGUA
rnacentral:rRNA from 1 species